rnacentral:rRNA from 1 species
UACGUAGGCAGCGAGCGUUGUUCGGAGUUACUGGGCGUAAAGCGUGCGUAGGCGGUGGUCCAAGUCUGGUGUGAAAUCUCCCGGCUCAACUGGGAGGGUGCGCCGGAAACUGGGCCGCUGGAGUACGGGAGAGGCAAGCGGAAUUCCAGGUGUAGCGGUGAAAUGCGUAGAUAUCUGGAGGAACACCGGUGGCGAAGGCGGCAUCCUGGACCGACACUGACGCUGAGGAGCGAAAGCCAGGGGAGCAAGCGGG